rnacentral:rRNA from 1 species
GUUUUGAUUUGAAAGGCGCUUUCGGGUGUCGCUGAUGGAUGGACCCGCGGUGCAUUAGCUAGUUGGUGAGGUAACGGCUCACCAAGGCCACGAUGCAUAGCCGACCUGAGAGGGUGAUCGGCCACAUUGGGACUGAGACACGGCCCAAACUCCUACGGGAGGCAGCAGUAGGGAAUCUUCGGCAAUGGACGAAAGUCUGACCGAGCAACGCCGCGUGAGUGAAGAAGGUUUUCGGAUCGUAAAACUCUGUUGUUAGAGAAGAACAAGGAUGAGAGUAACUGUUCAUCCCUUGACGGUAUCUAACCAGAAAGCCACGGCUAACUACGUGCCAGCAGCCGCGGUAAUACGUAGGUGGCAAGCGUUGUCCGGAUUUAUUGGGCGUAAAGCGAGCGCAGGCGGUUUCUUAAGUCUGAUGUGAAAGCCCCCGGCUCAACCGGGGAGGGUCAUUGGAAACUGGGAGACUUGAGUGCAGAAGAGGAGAGUGGAAUUCCAUGUGUAGCGGUGAAAUGCGUAGAUAUAUGGAGGAACACCAGUGGCGAAGGCGGCUCUCUGGUCUGUAACUGACGCUGAGGCUCGAAAGCGUGGGGAGCAAACAGGAUUAGAUACCCUGGUAGUCCACGCCGUAAACGAUGAGUGCUAAGUGUUGGAGGGUUUCCGCCCUUCAGUGCUGCAGCUAACGCAUUAAGCACUCCGCCUGGGGAGUACGACCGCAAGGUUGAAACUCAAAGGAAUUGACGGGGGCCCGCACAAGCGGUGGAGCAUGUGGUUUAAUUCGAAGCAACGCGAAGAACCUUACCAGGUCUUGACAUCCUUUGACCACUCUAGAGAUAGAGCUUCCCCUUCGGGGGCAAAGUGACAGGUGGUGCAUGGUUGUCGUCAGCUCGUGUCGUGAGAUGUUGGGUUAAGUCCCGCAACGAGCGCAACCCUUAUUGUUAGUUGCCAUCAUUCAGUUGGGCACUCUAGCAAGACUGCCGGUGACAAACCGGAGGAAGGUGGGGAUGACGUCAAAUCAUCAUGCCCCUUAUGACCUGGGCUACACACGUGCU